AACGAACGCUGGCGGCAUGCCUAACACAUGCAAGUCGAACGAACCCUUCGGGGUUAGUGGCGCACGGGUGCGUAACGCGUGGGGAUCUGCCCAAAGGUUCGGAAUAACUCAGAGAAAUUUGAGCUAAUACCGGAUAAUGUCUUCGGACCAAAGAUUUAUUGCCUUUGGAUGAACCCGCGUAGGAUUAGCUUGUUGGUGGGGUAAAGGCCUACCAAGGCGACGAUCCUUAGCUGGUCUGAGAGGAUGAUCAGCCACACUGGGACUGAGACACGGCCCAGACUCCUACGGAGGCAGCAGUGGGGAAUAUUGGACAAUGGGCGAAAGCCUGAUCCAGCAAUGCCGCGUGAGUGAUGAAGGCCUUAGGGUUGUAAAGCUCUUUUACCAGGGAUGAUAAUGACAGUACCUGGAGAAUAAGCUCCGGCUAACUCCGUG
rnacentral:rRNA from 1 species